AUACUUACCUGGCAAGGGAGAUACCAUGAUCACGAAGGUGGUUUUCCCAGGGCGAGGCUUAUCCAUUGCACUCCGGAUGUGCUGACCCCUGCGAUUUCCCCAAAUGUGGGAAACUCGACUGCAUAAUUUGUGGUAGUGGGGGACUGCGUUCGCUCUCUCCCCUG
rnacentral:snRNA from 1 species